AGUCGAGCGGCAGUCGAUGUCCUUCGCUACAUCACGCUAAGUGGCGAACGGGUGAGUAAUGCUUCGGAAUCUGCCUAUUAGUGGGGGACAACUUUCCGAAAGGUAUGCUAAUACCGCAUACGCCCUGAGGUGGAAAGCAGGGGAUCUUCGGACCUUGCGCUAUUGGAUGAGCCUAUGUCAGAUUAGCUAGUUGGUGGGGUAAAGGCCUACCAAGGCGACGAUCUGUAGCGGGUCUGAGAGGAUGAUCCGCCACACUGGAACUGAGACACGGUCCAGACUCCUACGGGAGGCAGCAGUGGGGAAUUUUGGACAAUGGGCGAAAGCCUGAUCCAGCCAUGCCGCGUGAGUGAAGAAGGCCUUUGGGUUGUAAAGCUCUUUCGGCCAGGGAAGAAGACUACUGKGGAUUAAUACUCGCCAUGAAUGGACGUUACUCGACUAAAAAGCCCCCGGCUAACUUCGAGCCAGCAGCCGCGGUAAUACGUAGGGKGCGAGCGUUAAUCCGAAUUUACUGGGCGUAAAGCGUGGCGCAGGCGUUUGCUAAGACAGGUGUGAAAUCCCCGGGCUUAACCUGGGAACUGCGCUUGUGACUGCCAGGCUAGAGUACGCAGAGGGGGGUGGAAUUCCACGUGUACCAGUGAAAUGCGUAGAGAUGUGGAGAAACACCGAUGGCGAAGGCAGCCCCCUGGGCCUGUACUGACGCUCAUGCAGGAAAGCGUGGGGAGCAACCAGGAUUAGAUACCCUGGUAGUCCACGCCUUAAACGAUGUCAAUUAUUCGUUGGGAGCGGUAACCCACUGAGUGACGCAGUUAACGCGUGAAKUUGACCGCCUGGGGAGUACGGCCCCAAGGUUAAAMUUCAAAGGAAUUGACGGGGACCCGCCCAAGCGGUGGAUGAUGUGGAUUAAUUGGAUGCAACGCGAAAACCCUUACUUACCCUUGCCAUCCCAGGAAUCUUGGUGAGAGCCGAGAGUCCCUUCGGGAGCCUGGACCCAGGUGCUCCAUGGCUGUCUUCAGCUCGUUUCGUGAGAUGUUGGGUUAAUUCCCGCAACGAGCCCAACCCUUGCCAUUAAUUCCCAUCAUUGAGUUGGCCACUUUAGUGGGACUGCCGGUGCCAAACCGGAGGAAGGUGGGGAGGACGUCAAGUCUUCAUGGCCCUUAUGGGUAGGGCUUCCCACUUCAUCCAAUGGUCGGUACAGAGGGUUGCCAAGCCGCGAGGCGGAGCCAAUCCCUACAAAGCCGAUCGUAUUCCGGAUCCCAUUUUGCAAUUGGACUGCGGAAUUCGGAAUCGUUAGUAAUCGCGGAUCACCA
rnacentral:rRNA from 1 species